GACGAACGCUGGCGGCGUGCCUAAUACAUGCAAGUCGAACGCUUCUUUCCUCCCGAGUGCUUGCACUCAAUUGGAAAGAGGAGUGGCGGACGGGGGAGUAACACGUGUGUAACCUACCCAUCAGAGGGGGAUAACACUUGGAAACAGGUGCUAAUACCGCAUAACAGUUUAUGCCGCAUGGCAUAAGAGUGAAAGGCGCUUUCGGGUGUCGCUGAUGGAUGGACCCGCGGUGCGUUAGCUAGUUGGGGAGGGAACGGCUCACCAAGGCCACGAUGCAUAGCCGCCCUGAGAGGGUGAUCGGCCACACUGGGACUGAGACACGGCCCAGACUCCUACGGGAGGCAGCAGUAGGGAAUCUUCGGCAAUGGGCGAAAGUCUGACCGAGCAACGCCGCGUGAGUGAAGAAGGUGUUCGGAUCGUAAAACUCUGUUGUUAGAGAAGAACAAGGACGUUAGUAACUGAACGUCCCCUGACGGUAUCUAACCAGAAAGCCACGGCUAACUACGUG
rnacentral:rRNA from 1 species